rnacentral:rRNA from 1 species
GACGAAGGGGGCUAGCGUUGUUCGGAAUUACUGGGCGUAAAGCGCGUGUAGGCUGACCGGAAAGUCGGGCGUGAAAUCCCUGAGCUCAACUCAGGAACUGCACUCGAAACUCUCGGUCUAGAGUGGUGGAGAGGGAAGUGGAAUUCCUGGUGUAGAGGUGAAAUUCGUAGAUAUCAGGAGGAACACCAGUGGCGAAGGCGGCUUCCUGGACACCAACUGACGCUGAGACGCGAAAGCGUGGGGAGCAAACAGG